GACGAACGCUGGCGGCGUGCCUAAUACAUGCAAGUAGAACGCUGAAGAGAGGAGCUUGCUCUUCUUGGAUGAGUUGCGAACGGGUGAGUAACGCGUAGGUAACCUGCCUUGUAGCGGGGGAUAACUAUUGGAAACGAUAGCUAAUACCGCAUAACAAUGGAUGACACAUGUCAUUUAUUUGAAAGGGGCAAUUGCUCCACUACAAGAUGGACCUGCGUUGUAUUAGCUAGUAGGUGAGGUAAUGGCUCACCUAGGCGACGAUACAUAGCCGACCUGAGAGGGUGAUCGCCAACACGGGAACGAAACAAGGGCCCGGAUUCCACCGGAGGCAGGAGGAAGGAAUCCUCGGCAAAGGGGGCAACCCUGACCGAGCAACGCCGCGUGAGUGAAGAAGGUUUUCGGAUCGUAAAGCUCUGUUGUAAGUCAAGAACGGGUGUGAGAGUGGAAAGUUCACACUGUGACGGUAGCUUACCAGAAAGGGACGGCUAACUACGUG
rnacentral:rRNA from 1 species